UAAACAAUUACUAUUAAAAUUCAAAACAAAAUAUCAUAUUGGUGCAAAGCAAAUAAGUAGAGAAUAAUUUACUACAGGUUGUUAAAUGGUUGAAAAUGAUUGUUUUCCCUCUCUUUCUCCUUGGAUGGUUACGGGAUGUUUGGUGAGGUUCUUCUGCACUGUGUGUCCACAGAAUCCGAGAUCCAGCAGAGCUUUGAGCAGCUGGAGGGCCGUGUGUGUCUCCUCCAGGCCCUGAGAGUCACCCAGCAUCUCACACACGGCAAAUGUUCUCUGCUCUUCAGUAUGAUUGACAGUUUGUGGCGUCCUUCGGUUGAUCCAAAAUCUCAUGACGAUCUGCUGCAGUCUCCCAGCGUAGGUCUUCAGAUCACAUCCUGAAUCACAGCCUGUUUACUUCACAUUUAUCUCACAUACCUCCUGCUUCUAGAAGAUUCCUCCUGGAUAGCGGCAGUCUGAUGUCAAAACAACCGCCAUGCUGCAUCCUUAACCAAAUAACAUAAAUAAACCAAAAUUACUCAUUAGCGGUGGUUGCGAAGACAAACAUCACUGCAGUUUCUCGUACUAAGAGUAAGUGAUUUAAACAAACCCCUGAGUAUUAACCUUUGCUUUGCGACGUGUCCCAUACCAGACAUGACUGAAAUCUAGCAGCUUUUGUGCUGGUACUUUUAUACUACAGAUCUUCACCUAGCAGGUGAAAACAUGGGCAACAAAUCCCUUAGACUUACACUGAACGAGAGACUCAGAAUGUCAUGAAUGUCAACUGUAUCUUCAAAAAAUUGUUUUGUAGAAAUUUUGUUGCUUAUGACAGCUAAGUAGUUACAUUCAUCUUUUAUUAGGCCUAAAACUUUCUGCCUUGGGUUUAAAAAAGCAGCUUUAAAGGAACAUUUUCUACUAUUCAUAGCAUUUUGUUAUCCUUUUGUAUCUUGAAGGACACUACUUUUGAACCUUCCCUAAACCUUCACCAAAAACAUUAGGAUUUUUUUUCAUAAGAGCGGACCGAGUUAUGUAAAUAUAUGCAAAUGUAUGCAGUCAUAUGUUAAUGAUCUUACUGUGGCUUCUGAAUGAGUGUUUUUGGUGUUUUAUUUCUAUAAAUAAUCUGGUUGACCGGGAAGGACAGAGGUAAAUGAUAUUCAUUUAUAAUCCAUCAAAUGACCUCUCUGAACUAUUAAGCGAUCUAGUUGAAUUUUAAAUAGUCAGGACAAUCUGUGCUUUCCAGGAUCGAGUCCCACCGUCCAGUGUCCAGCAGGGUCACAUAGUUCCCUUAUCAGGACAGACUGAAACUCUACUGUACUGACCACCUGUACUUCAGACGCUAAGAGAGAUCCUUGAGAACGAAUCUUCGAGGUGCUGUUGCAGCUUUUGGGCCACUGUGGUUCAUAAACAAUUACUGCUCAGAUAUUCUGCUGGGAACAGACAGUGAUCCAACUGGAACCAGAGGACCCAUCCUUCUCAAUUCCGCGGCCCAUAAUACUGGAGCACUUGGAUCCAGAAACCCUCCUGUACUCUCUCUGCACUUGGUAUAUUCCCCCAGAGCCUCCCUUGUUUUAAGGAGUUGGAAUGAUCCAGUUUGACAGAACUGGAUCUCUGGGGGGUACAGCAUUUUUGGCCAUUUAAACGAAACCAGUUGUUUGUUGGCUCAGGCUUUGUUCUUGAUGCUUUGUUAGGGACCUUGUGGUUUGUUAUUUACUCCUUCCUCCUUAAAGAUCUUUCUCCCACA